AUGUACCGCCACGAGCAUCCCCUUCGCGGUCCUCCACCGCAUUUCGUGCCGGUCUUGAGGCACCCACCCUCUAUCAGACACAGUGGGCCAUUUUCGGUACCACGUCCAGGACAACAACCCCAAAGACCUGCUGGACAGUUCCCACCGCCGGAAAGCUUUUACCUGCACAACAGGCCACCGAGCGACCGCUACGUGAGUCCCCACUGUAGCAACUUCUCCAUAGACCGUAGUACAGUGAUUGCUGUCGGAGGCAGCCAGCAGAUUGCCCCUCCUGCAGAUUCACCACAUCUUCAAGUUCCACUGUGGAACCCCCCACAGAUGGGACAUCUUGUUUCAGACAACAGUGAUCAAGCUGGCGAGGAGUUCCUGAGAUGUAUUGCAGCCAACAAACCUCUACCAGAUUAUCUCAAAGGCAAUAUGGCAUUAAACCUGGCUGAUGCACUCAAGUCUGCUGAAACACUGAAAGUUUCAGUCAAGUCGGUGACCAAGAGUAAGAGCCGUAGUCGAAGUCAAAGCCGAACCCGUGGCAGAUCUCGAGCCAAGAGCCGAGCAAGGAGUCGAAGCAGAGGAAGGAGCAAAAGUCAUGUUCGUGGCAAGAGUCGAGCCAAAAGCCAAACGCGGGCUUGCAGUAGGAGUCGGAGCCGGGGCAAGCAGAGUCACAAACGGAGCAAAAGUCGAGUCAGAAGAUCUAGGUCCCGAAGCAGCAGUAGUGAAAAGAGCCAUGGCAAAGACAGGAAGAGGAAGAGAAGCCCUGACAUCAGCAGCAACAAUCUGACUGGAAACCGUCUGUUUGAAGGACUCAAACUAGUCAUGAACAGCAAAGAUGUGGAAGAGCGGUUGCCCUCUCUCAAAGAUGCCAUCCUUGGUAUUCAGGCUUCAUGUGGAAAAAAGACAGUGGAGAACGUGUCUGAUGAGCCCAAACAUCAGCAAUAUGACAGCAUCGACCCUUUCACAACACUGGAGAAUGAAAGCAUCUUGCUUCCACAUGAAAGAGUAGUUGGUGACUUCUCUUGGCUUCAAGAAAAAAGCCAGGAGGAAAUUUCUGUCCUGAAAGCCAAAGAGUUUGAAGAAGAAGAGUCAUUUUUGUAUGGGUCUGGGGGUUACCUCCAAACUGAAGAACAUGCCAAACAUCUUGGUGCACAAGAACCCCUUCAGAUGGCAUCAUCUGCCUUUGCCAAUGCCAGUCUGGAUAAGUUGGAGUUUGACAAAAUCAAGAAAAUCCUCGAUAGUUUGGGAGGAACAUCGGAUAUUGGCAAGAUGGUAAUGAAUACUCAAAUGAUAAAGGAAGGCAGUGAAGCCUUUCCUGCUAUUUUAAAUUCAGACGUAGCAGUGGAGACUCUGAAAAACCCAAGUGUACGGAAAUCCCUGGAGUCGUUGCAGUCUCUGAUCAGAGCAACAAAGGACAAACGGGCAAGAAGCAACGGACAAUCAGAAACCUCCUCUGAAAAACAGAAGGCUGGCGACAAUGAAAAGAAGAAAAAAGACAAACAAACUAAAAUAAAAGAACUGGAAUCACUGGCACAAGAAUUGGAUGUUUUGCUUCGAGAGGAUGGAAUAGGCUUCAUGUCUCCAGUGAUCGGGUUUUACUGCCAGAAGUGUGAAGAGUUCAUCGGAGAUUUGAAGUCUGUUGAGACUCACGCGGCUGUCCACAUUCAUAGUACCUCCAGCUGCCUAAAAGAGAAGCAGGACAAACAUGGUAAAGACAUCAAAGGACACUCGCACCAUCACAGCAGCCAUAGUCAACAUCCUCACUCUGAGAAGAGAGGCCACAGGAGUGGCCGAGACCACCAGGAGAAAGGGCACAAAAGCACUCGACUGGGAAACCUCUGCCUGAAAGAAGAAAUGAAAAAAGAACGGAUGCUGAUAACUGUCAACCGUGGACUGACACCUCCGGCUCAGCCCACCAUAACCAAGGAGAACAAGGAGAUGGGCAUCCCAGGACACGCAAAAGUCAAAGAAGAAAAGGAGAAAUCGUUAAAAACCAGCAGAGGCAAACACAGCAGCGAGAGCAGCGAGGACGACAGAUCGUCCAAAGCUAAACAUGCUAAAAAGAAGAAGAAGGAAAAGAAGAAAAAGAAAAAGAGCGACGGGUCUUAAUUGUUUUCGUUUUCCUUUGAGAUUGUUGCCAUAAAAUCUUCAUUUCUUAGUCUAAUUUUGUUUUUUACCAUGCUUCAGAAAACUGCAUGUGUUGUUGAUAGAUUUUAGUUUUUGAUGCUGUGAAGAGUUUAGGAAGAUGAACUUGCAACAGUCAUCCAGAUGUUUGGUAGGAAAUUUACCUGAAUGAAUGUUUGAAUGCAGAUACCACAGAGGGGUCAUAAACGAGGUGAGGACCCGUGAAGCUGUUCUUACCCUGAUGCAUCAUGGCAGCGUUCAGUUUCAUGAUCGUUAUUCGUUUAAAAGUUCACAUCUGUAUUUAAUAAGUCUGCAAGUUCAUUUUCAACAAAUGUUUUCCUUCAUUUAGACCUAGAGAAGUUCUGUUGUCUGACAUGUUUCAGUUUUUAUUUCCUCUUUCCUCCUUUCCAAUAAACAUAAAAAUGAAAAGGCUGAGAUUUUUUUUAUUUCUUGUCGGCAUUAAUUAGUAACAGUUUUAUAUUUACUGAACCAGCAGUUGUAAUAAGUUAGCAGCUGCUUGACCAAACCUGGCCGCCCUCAGCCCCGGUUCACACGGCGGGAUAAUCAGAUCCAUUUCUGACCCCGAUUUUUGCUCUCGACAGUCUUAUGGAUGCGCAGGAUUACCAUAAUGGCUCUAAAGGUCAUGUUCCUGCGUGUGUGUUGGGAGCGCUCUGGUGAGCUCAGGACCACUAUGAUCAUAAACUGGGGACAUUAAUGAUGGGAAAUGUCUUGGUCCAACACAAAGGACAAAGAGGUAUGCUUCCUGUUGAAUGCGUUGCUAAUCAGAAAGUGAGGCGGUGGAAACGUGCCGGACGUACAGUAAUCCUUAUUGUGUGUGGAGUAAGGUGUAAAAAUAAAAGGAAACGUGUGUUGCCACAAAUACCUGCGGAGCCGUGUAGGCACUAUGUGAGUGGUUCUGGUUCUUUUGGGUUGCAGUGCUGCUUUAACAGUGCAAUUCCCUCACGAGGGAGGAGCAAAAUAUCAAAGACAUUUGAUAUUUGUGCACCUGUACAAUUGCUGAUCAGGGGCUAGUCAUGAGAGGUUAAUGGCCUCCUAUAAGCCCCUGUACACCACAAGAGGUACAACACUAAAUUCGCCCCAGUCUCUAAGAUUCGCACGAGAGGGAAGUUGGUUUAAAAAAGUGAAAAAGUUGCACAGUGUCCACCUGGCUUAAGGUGCACGUCCUAAUGGAAUCCACAGGCCUACAGAUGAUGUGUUUUUAAAGAGAAGUUGACAUUCUUGAAGGACUUGCAGGUAAACCAGGGUAGAUUCUUGUAACCUGACUUUGUUUUGAAUCUUUUUGCUAUAAAACUUGAAUUAUUUCACUUUACAGACUUUGUGAAGUAAAAGUUCUUUGUUCUGUUUGCCAUAAAUUGAGUUCUGAACAUUAUUAGACUUCAGUAGCUGGAAUAAAAAUGGAAAAUGCACAUUUAGAAAAAUUCCAAUAAAACAAAUUAAAUAAAAAAGUGAAUUAUUUGUAUUUAUGUUCUAAUUCCAUGCUUUCGUUCUUUUUUAGACACAGAAACAGUUUUGAUUACCUGUUUUGUAGCUACAGUUUCGCCGACGGUUGCCGGCUUCUUCAGGCUGACGCUGAUGGUGGCGCGUCACUUCCUUCUCCGUUUAUCUGCGGGCAGCAGAGGACGUUGUCGCCCUCUACUGCCCGCUCUCCCCUCUCCGACGAUGCAGUCCCAUGCGUGGUCCAGCGUGUAAACUCCGUCGUCCCUGUUCAUGGUCCCACAUCCACGUCUCCUUAUCUCGAUUGCUUCCUUGAUCCAUCUUUUGUAUUUUUGUUGUUC
ensembl:lncRNA